GAACAGACGAGGAGCUUGCUCCUCUGACGUUAGCGGCGGACGGGUGAGUAACACGUGGAUAACCUACCUAUAAGACUGGGAUAACUUCGGGAAACCGGAGCUAAUACCGGAUAAUAUAUUGAACCGUAUGGUUCAAUAGUGAAAGACGGUUUUGCUGUCACUUAUAGAUGGAUCCGCGCCGCAUUAGCUAGUUGGUAAGGUAACGGCUUACCAAGGCAACGAUGCGUAGCCGACCUGAGAGGGUGAUCGGCCACACUGGAACUGAGACACGGUCCAGACUCCUACGGGAGGCAGCAGUAGGGAAUCUUCCGCAAUGGGCGAAAGCCUGACGGAGCAACGCCGCGUGAGUGAUGAAGGUCUUCGGAUCGUAAAACUCUGUUAUUAGGGAAGAACAAAUGUGUAAGUAACUAUGCACGUCUUGACGGUACCUAAUCAGAAAGCCACGGCUAACUACGUGCCAGCAGCCGCGGUAAUACGUAGGUGGCAAGCGUUAUCCGGAAUUAUUGGGCGUAAAGCGCGCGUAGGCGGUUUUUUAAGUCUGAUGUGAAAGCCCACGGCUCAACCGUGGAGGGUCAUUGGAAACUGGAAAACUUGAGUGCAGAAGAGGAAAGUGGAAUUCCAUGUGUAGCGGUGAAAUGCGCAGAGACAUGGAGGAACACCAGUGGCGAAGGCGACUUUCUGGUCUGUAACU
rnacentral:rRNA from 1 species